GGGUGAGUAACACGUGGAUAACCUACCUAUAAGACUGGGAUAACUUCGGGAAACCGGAGCUAAUACCGGAUAACAUGUUGAACCGCAUGGUUCAACAGUGAAAGACGGUCUUGCUGUCACUUAUAGAUGGAUCCGCGUCGCAUUAGCUAGUUGGUAAGGUAACGGCUUACCAAGGCAACGAUGCGUAGCCGACCUGAGAGGGUGAUCGGCCACACUGGAACUGAGACACGGUCCAG
rnacentral:rRNA from 1 species